AGAGUUUGAUCAUGGCUCAGGACGAACGCUGGCGGCGUGCUUAACACAUGCAAGUCGAACGGAAAGGCCCUUCGGGGUACUCGAGUGGCGAACGGGUGAGUAACACGUGGGUGAUCUGCCCUGCACUUUGGGAUAAGCCUGGGAAACUGGGUCUAAUACCGAAUAUGACCACGCUCUUCAUGGGGUGUGGUGGAAAGCUUUUGCGGUGUGGGAUGGGCCCGCGGCCUAUCAGCUUGUUGGUGGGGUAAUGGCCUACCAAGGCGACGACGGGUAGCCGGCCUGAGAGGGUGACCGGCCACACUGGGACUGAGAUACGGCCCAGACUCCUACGGGAGGCAGCAGUGGGGAAUAUUGCACAAUGGGCGCAAGCCUGAUCCAGCCAUGCCGCGUGCAGGAUGAAUGCCUUCGGGUUGUAAACCUCUUUCAAUAGGGACGAAGCGCAAGUGACGGUACCUAUAGAAGAAGCACCGGCCAACUACGUGCCAGCAGCCGCGGUAAUACGUAGGGUGCGAGCGUUGUCCGGAAUUACUGGGCGUAAAGAGCUCGUAGGUGGUUUGUCGCGUUGUUCGUGAAAACUCACAGCUUAACUGUGGGCGUGCGGGCGAUACGGGCAGACUAGAGUACUGCAGGGGAGACUGGAAUUCCUGGUGUAGCGGUGGAAUGCGCAGAUAUCAGGAGGAACACCGGUGGCGAAGGCGGGUCUCUGGGCAGUAACUGACGCUGAGGAGCGAAAGCGUGGGGAGCGAACAGGAUUAGAUACCCUGGUAGUCCAA
rnacentral:rRNA from 1 species